UUGAUUUGAAGUCUUCUUUUCCCAUAUAGGUAUUUGCAACUAUACAUUUCCUUCUGAGCACUGCCUUAGCUGCAUCUCCUAACUGUUGUUAGAAAGAAAGGACUGGAGUUACAGAUGGGUGUUCCUUUGAAGGACUGGAGUUCCACAUGGAGUGAUCCCAGGUGUACAUCGGCUAUCAUGGAAUUGAAGUGUAAACCAGGCCCUAUUUAUCAGAGCACUCACUGGGUGCCACACAUUGAACUGAACAAGAUGUAUCCACCUAAAACUCCCAGUUGACCUGAAAG